CUCAAUUCUCUGGCAUUUACGAGUUAAAUCACUUUUGUUUCUGUCCGUGAAGCCCUAGCCACACCUCACCUGACUGGUUUCAUUUUUAAUCACAUGUAACUUCUGAAGUUUUUACAUCUUGCUUUGUAAAUUGAACUAUAAAUACACAGGAGGCUCUGCAAGGUCUAGCAAGCUAAUAACAGAGCAAGAGAUAAGAAAUUAUAAAUUAACCCCUUAAGGACACGUGACAUGUCAUGAUUCCCUUUUAUUCCAGAAGUUUGGUCCUUAAGGGGUUAAACAGAAUGUGCAAUAAAGGUAGUUUAAACAUUAGAUCUCACAUUACAGGAAGUUAAAUCAUUU